rnacentral:rRNA from 1 species
UCAUUAACAAUCUUACAAUCACAACGCGUGGCAUACACCCACUGAAUAUCGCAAGACAUCAGGUGGGUUGGAUGACCAUGUCGUGCCGAUUAAAUCCACUCUGUGAAACUUCCACUGUUGCUUCCAUGCGUAUCUAACCCUUGGGGUUGGCGCAUGGGACUACAACCUAACACCGUGUUCUGUUGUUCUAGUCUGAGUGGUAACUCACAAUUAUAACAAGUUAAAACUUUCAACAACGGAUCUCUUGGUUCUCGCAUCGAUGAAGAACGCAGCGAAAUGCGAUAAGUAGUGUGAAUUGCAGAAUUCAGUGAAUCAUCGAAUCUUUGAACGCACAUUGCGCCUCCUGGUAUUCCGGGAGGCAUGCCUGUUCGAGCGUCAUGAAAAGCAUCCUCAAGCAAAUUUGCUUGGUUGUGGAAGAAGAUGGCUUCCAUCUCUUCUGGAAACUCUCAGCAGAAGGCCUUGCAACCUCCGGUGUGAUAAAACCUAUUCACUUGAUGGUUACAAAGUUUUCUGGCUGUACAGAAAGCCCCCCCCCAGCAUUUUCUACAUGUUUGACCUCGGAUCAGGUAGGGAUACCCGCUGAACUUAAGCAUUU